rnacentral:rRNA from 1 species
AUUGAACGCUGGCGGAAUGCUUUACACAUGCAAGUCGAACGGCAGCACGGGAGCUUGCUCCUGGUGGCGCGUGGCGAACGGGUGAGUAACAUAUCGGAACGUACCCUGUCGUGGGGGAUCACUAUCCGACAGGAUAGCUAAUACCGCAUACGUCCUGAGGGAGAAAGCGGGGGAUCGCGAGACCUCGCGAGCAUGGAGCGGCCGAUCUCGGAUUAGCUAGUUGGUGGGGUAAAGGCUCACCAAGGCGACGAUCCGUAGCGGGUCUGAGAGGACGAACCGCCACACUGGAACUGAGACACGGUCCAGACUCCUACGGGAGGCAGCAGUGGGGAAUUUUGGACAAUGGGGGCAACCCUGAUCCAGCCAUUCCGCGUGAGUGAAGAAGGCCUUCGGGUUGUAAAGCUCUUUCAGCAGGAACGAAACGGUCGGCUUUAAUAAAAUCGGCUAUUGACGUUACCUGCAGAAGAAGCACCGGCUAACUACGUG